rnacentral:rRNA from 1 species
GACGUAGGGCGCGAGCGUUGUCCGGAAUCAUUGGGCGUAAAGCGCGCGUAGGCGGCCCGGUAAGUCCGCUGUAAAAGUCCAGGCUCAACCCUGGAACGCCGGUGGAUACUGUCGGGCUAGAGUCCGGAAGAGGCGAGUGGAAUUCCUGGUGUAGCGGUGAAAUGUGCAGAUAUCAGGAGGAACACCGGUGGCGAAGGCGGGUCUCUGGGCCGAUACUGACGCUGAGGAGCGAAAGCGUGGGGAGCGAACAGG